GCCCGCUCAGAAACUCAAGGAAUUGACGGGGGCCCGCACAAGCAGCGGAGCGUGUGGUUAAUUCGAUGCUACACGAAGAACCUUACCGGGUUGACAUGCAAGUGGUAGUGAUCCGAAAGGUGAACGACCCGCAAGGGAGCUUGCACAGGUGUUGCAUGGCUGUCGUCAGCUUGUGUCGUGAGAUGUUCGGUUAAGUCCGCUAACGAGCGCAACCCUCGCUGUAUGUUACAUGUGUCAUACAGGACCGCCGGUAUCAAGCCGGAGGAAGGUGGGGAUGACGUCAAGUCCGCAUGGCCUUUAUGUCCGGGGCUACACACACGCUACAAUGGUCGGUACAAUGGGUUGCUAAGCCGCGAGGUGGAGCCAAUCCCCAAAGCCGGCCUCAGUUCAGAUUGCAGGCUGCAACUCGCCUGCAUGAAGCUGGAGUUGCUAGUAAACGCGCGUCAGCUAUAGUGCGUUGAAUACGUUCUCGGGCCUU
rnacentral:rRNA from 1 species